rnacentral:rRNA from 1 species
GAUGAACGCUGGCAGAAUGCUUAACACAUGCAAGUCUUUGGCGAAGCUGUGCUUGCACAGCCUAGCCAAGGCGGACGGGUGAGUAACGCGUAAGGAACUUGCCCUGCAGUCAGGGAUAACAGACGGAAACGACUGAUAAGACCUGGUAAAGUCAGGCGGACUCAUGUCCAGCCUGAUGAAAAGUGAUGCUGCAGGAGAGCCUUGCGUCCUAUUAGCUUGUUGGUGGGGUAACGGCCCACCAAGGCGAUGAUAGGUAGCCGGCCUGAGAGGGUGGACGGCCACAAGGGGACUGAGAUACGGCCCUUACUCCUACGGGAGGCAGCAGUGGGGAAUAUUGGACAAUGGGGGCAACCCUGAUCCAGCAAUUCUGUGUGCACGAUGAAGGUUUUCGGAUUGUAAAGUGCUUUCAGCAGGGAAGAAAAAAAUGACGGUACCUGCAGAAGAAGCGACGGCUAAAUACGUG